AAGGCGUGAGCGCGGCUUCCCGGGGUCGGCGCUCGCCCUCCCUGCCCCCGCCUCGGCCCGGCGCCCCCGAGCCGCGGCCCCUUCCCAGCACAGGGGCCGGCGGCCGCGGCUGGGCGGGCGCCGCGCGGGGGCAGGGCGGGCGUAUUCAAUGGAAGUAUGUUACCAGCUGCCGGUGCUGCCCCUGGACAGGCCGGUCCCCCAGCACGUCCUCAGCCGCCGAGGAGCCAUCAGCUUCAGCUCCAGCUCCGCGCUCUUCGGCUGCCCCAAUCCCCGUCAACUCUCACAGAGGCGUGGAGCGAUUUCCUAUGACAGUUCUGAUCAGACUGCAUUGUACAUUCGUAUGCUAGGAGAUGUACGUGUAAGGAGUCGAGCAGGAUUUGAAUCAGAAAGAAGAGGUUCUCAUCCAUAUAUUGAUUUUCGUAUUUUUCAUGCUCAAUCUGAAAUUGAAGUUUCUGUGUCUGCAAGAAAUAUCAGGAGGUUACUAAGUUUCCAGCGGUAUCUUAGAUCUUCUCGCUUUUUUCGCGGUACUACUGUUUCAAAUUCUCUAAACAUUUUAGAUGAUGAUUAUAAUGGACAAGCCAAGUGUAUGCUGGAAAAAGUUGGAAAUUGGAAUUUUGAUAUCUUUCUAUUUGAUAGACUAACAAAUGGAAAUAGUCUAGUAAGCUUAACCUUUCAUUUAUUUAGUCUUCAUGGAUUAAUUGAGUACUUCCAUUUAGAUAUGAUGAAACUUCGUAGAUUUUUAGUUAUGAUUCAAGAAGAUUACCACAGUCAGAACCCUUACCACAAUGCGGUCCAUGCUGCAGAUGUUACUCAGGCCAUGCACUGUUACUUAAAAGAACCUAAGCUUGCCAGUUCUGUAACCCCUUGGGAUGUCUUGCUGAGCUUAAUUGCAGCUGCCACUCAUGAUCUGGAUCAUCCAGGUGUUAAUCAACCUUUCCUUAUUAAAACUAACCAUUACUUGGCAACUUUAUACAAGAAUACCUCAGUACUGGAAAAUCACCACUGGAGAUCUGCAGUGGGAUUAUUGAGAGAAUCUGGCUUAUUCUCACAUAUGCCAUCAGAAAGCAGGCAACAAAUGGAGACUCAGAUAGGUGCUUUGAUACUAGCCACAGACAUCAGUCGCCAAAAUGAGUAUCUGUCAUUGUUCCGGUCCCAUUUGGACAGAGGUGAUUUACGCCUUGAAGAUGCCAGGCAUAGGCAUUUGGUUUUACAGAUGGCUUUGAAAUGUGCUGAUAUUUGUAACCCAUGUCGGACCUGGGAAUUAAGCAAGCAGUGGAGUGAAAAAGUAACAGAGGAAUUCUUCCAUCAAGGAGAUAUAGAAAAGAAGUAUCAUUUGGGUGUGAGUCCACUUUGUGAUCGUCAGACUGAAUCUAUUGCCAACAUCCAGAUUGGUUUCAUGACUUACCUCGUGGAGCCUUUAUUCACAGAAUGGGCCAGGUUUUCCAAUACCAGGCUAUCCCAGACAAUGCUCGGACAUAUGGGGCUGAAUAAAGCCAGUUGGAAGGGGUUGCAGAGAGAACAGUCCACCAGUGAGGACACUGAUGCUGCGUUCGAGGAGUUGAACUCACAGCUAUUACCUCAGGAAAAUCGGUUAUCAUAGCCCCCAGAAUCGUCGGAACAGACUGCCUCCUGCAGGUUUUUAGAAAUGUGAAAUGGGGUCUUGAGGUGAGAGGACUUUCUUGACUGCCAAGGUUUCCGAGGGAAUGAGGCCAGCGUUAUUUAUUCCCAAGGUGUCCUCUACUGGAUCAUGCGACCCCACUUUUUAAUUAUAAGACCUGAACAUACAGCAAUAUGCACUUGGCUUUCGUGUGAAACCUUGAAUAUGCAAAGCCCAGCAGGAGCGGAUCCGAAAGGAGUAACGAAGGAAGUUUUGCAACGUGCGACCAGUUUUUCAAAGCAUUUGCUCCUCGAACCGUGAAACUUGAACUGUAGCUUUCAGCAGAAAUCUCUUGGAAUUUAACCAGUCUGACGCAACGUUGUGUAUCUGUACCUUCCACUAAGUUCUCUCUGAGAAAAAGGAAAUGUGAAGUGCCCAGCCUCUGCUGCCUCCUGCAAGACUCGAUGUUUACAAAUCAACUCUGAAAUAUUGGUUCUAAAUUGCCUUGGAGCAUGAUUGUGAAGGAACCACUAACAAUUUUAAAGAUCAAACUUAAACUGCAGCUCUUUCCCCCUGGUUUGCCUUUUUCUUCUUUGGAUGCCACCAAAGCCUCCCUUUUGCUAUAGUUUUAUUUUGCGCACUGGAAACUGAGCAUUUAUCAUAGAGUACCGCCAAGCUUUCCCUCCAGUGCUGUUUGGCAAUGCAAUUUUUUUUAACUGUUAGUUUCUGAUUUGGGGCGGGAGGGGAAGAACACCAGUGUCCUAGCUGUAUUAUGAUUCUGCAGUGAAGACAUUGCAUGUUGUUUUCACUACUGUACUCUUGACCUGCACAUGCAAGAAACAGGUGGAAUGUUUAAAACACCAUAAACAGCUCAGGGUAUUUGCCAAUCUGAAAUAAAGUGGGAUGGGGAAGUGUGUCCUUCAGAGCAAGGGUACUAAAGUCCCUUUCGCUGCAGUGCGUGAGAGGCAGAUCUUCUGGGGAAGUCCAUUUAUGAUCAGCCGGUUACUUGGUGAGCGUGGAUUCUGAGCAAGGGAAGCAAGUUGCCUCAUGCAUCCAUCUCCCUAUGGGGACUCACCUGCUGAUUUUCAUGUUUGUGGACCAGGGUACGCUCUUCCCCCGGAUGAUUGUAGAGAUUCUCUGCCAGUAGUUGCCUCUCCACAUCAGCUUCUGAUGGGCACAUCCAGUAAAUCUGUCAGUACCUUCAGCCUUUGUCUCAGUUGAACCUGCCUGGGUUCCAUCUGCCGGUGUACGAUUGCUUACUUCUGCUCUGAUCCAUUUCUUAUUGUUUGAUAGUCAAAGGAUUAUCUUAUUUCCUUUCUUGGGGGAGACACCUCACUGUUGCUCCCAUUUCCUGCCUACACGUAGAAUAAACCCACUGACAGAUUAUGUUUUGUUACAUAUAUGUGGAAGUCACCAUCUCUAGCCCUGCUCCUUAAAUAUAACUUAUAUUCCUUGAACAUUGGUUUUCUAGAAAAAUUUGAGGAAACAGUUCAGAAAUUUAGAAGAUUACAUUUCAAAUAAGUAAAUGUUAUGGAACAGAAAAAUUCACAUGAACUUUUAAAACAGGAGACUUCAAAGAAUUGUCGAGCAUGUCGCAGCCCUGUGGGGCUCUACCCAACACUUCAGUAGUAGGGGGGCAUCUCCUCUGCUCUGGAGGUAAAGGUCCUUGGAGAGAAAACUUUGGCAAGCCUUAGCUUAAUGAAAAACCAAUCUGGUACCUGGUCAAUAUUUCUAUUCUGUAAAUGUGAUGGUUUAUAAUGAUCCUCUUUGUAUAAAAGAAGCAAAUAUUUUAUGUCCUUUGCAAACCUGGAAAAUAUAUUUGUACCUGAGGUACAGGUUAGAGGUGCUAGUAAUUCUUUGAAGAUUCCUAUAACAGUUUCUUUUCCAAAAUGCUUUCUUGGCUCUUAAAACUUUGAGUUUUCUUAAAACUCUAACUUUCACAUCAGGGGUUUACAGUGUUUUCAUGUGUACUUUUUUUAAUGUAUAAAUAUUUUGUUUAAAUCCUCUCCUGAUCAGUGUCUCCUGCUUGAGAAAAUAAACAGUGACCGACAGCUACUAUGCAUUCACUAAUGUUUUUAAAUAAAUGUGCAUACUACUCACCAUGGCAUCAGCACACAUCUGAAACAUACAGUUGUACAGUUAUGUGCAAGACUUAGUCUGAGCCAUUCCUUGCUCGCUAUGGAUCUGCAGACAACCUGUGUCUUUGGAAGGCCCCCAAGGAUCCAUGGUCUUUUCCUCGGAGGUGAGCUGACAGGGGGCGCACAGCAGGUCUCCUCCAACUUCUAGGCUCUUGUGCUUAUUAGCACAGGGCUAGCUUCAAUUGGGCCAUCGAUGUUUGAACAAACUAAUUCGGUAUUAAUGUGUUUUCUCUUUAGCCAUCAAUCUAUAACAUUGAGAAAUGAUAUUGAAACUAAUCUGUCUGUGCUGAAUCAUGUGGUCAGCAAUAUCUGGGUUCCUGUUGUGUGCAGAGUACUGCACUGGAUGUAAUAAAGGUAGAUUGCUUAUCUCCAUUUUGUUUUGCCUAUUUCUAUAAAUUGGGCAGAACAGCUUCCUCUCCCAGCCUUGAAGGAAUGAGUGGCCCCGUGUAGGAAUGCCCGCGUAGACCGCACAUGCUUGACAACUUUGAAUGGUGUGCAGCAUGAUGACUUACGUACACACUUGGAAAUAAUCACUACAAUCAAGUUAAUGAGCGUCUCCCAGUUUCCCUCACAGUUUCACGCGGUCAUGUCUGAGUUCUGGCGAACAAGAUGUUGGCAGAUGUUGAUAAGCCAUCUAGGAAAGCUGUUUACAAGGAGAGGACUCCAGGAGAAAGUCCUUUCAUCUGUAGCUCCACCCAUUCGCCCCUCCUGAGCCUUGAGUACAAGGUGAUGGCUGGACUUGAGAGUCACAGACAACCAAAAGCUAACCUGAAUGCAGAAGUCAAUGCUAAUGACGGCAGGGAGCCUGGCACGGUCCCUGUGGACACUGUAGAGCCACUGUCAGCUUCAGACUAUCUACUAUGGAUGUGUUUGAUUUGACAGAAAUAAACCUCCAUCCUCUAGAAGUCACCAUUUUGGGGGGCAUCUCUGUUAAAUGUAGUCGAACCUAAUCCUGUUAUACAACCAUCAUUAAACUCCAUUUUAUUUUCUA